GGCAGCAUGGUUAAGUAGAAAGAACUUCAGUUUUUUAGUUAGACAGACCUGAGUUCAAAUUUUAGUUUUGCCA
rnacentral:tRNA from 1 species